rnacentral:rRNA from 1 species
CCUACGGGUGGCAGCAGUGAGGCAUAUUGGUCAAUGGCCGGAAGGCUGAACCAGCCAUGCCGCGUGAAGGUCAGUGCCCUAUGGGCGUUAAACUUCUUUUGUGCGGGAGCAAUAAUGGUCACGUGUGGCCAGACGAGAGUACCGUACGAAUAAGCAUCGGCUAACUCCGUGCCAGCAGCCGCGGUAAUACGGGGGAUGCAAGCGUUAUCCGGAUUUAUUGGGUUUAAAGGGUGCGUAGGCGGGGAGGUACGUCAGCGGUGAAAUGCCCCCGCUCAACGGGGUGAAGUGCCAUUGAUACUGCCGUGCUGGAGUGCGGUAGACGUGGGAGGAAUGUGUGGUGUAGCGGUGAAAUGCAUAGAUAUCA